CAGGCCGUGCUUGAGGAUGACCAUGCGCUCGGCCACGCCCUUGGCGCGCGCGGUUCGGAUAUAAUCCUGCUGCAUGACCUCGAGCAUCGAGGAACGGGUCAUGCGCGCGAUGUACGCGAUGGGGGAGAAGGAGAGGCACGUCACCGGCAGGAUGUAGUGCUUCCAU
rnacentral:ncRNA from 1 species